AGAAAGCCAUACCCAAACCCUGCGAAUACACAGCUUAGGCUGAGCCCAGAGCAUUUCCUUCUCUGUUCUAUCACUAAGCCUAAGAGGCUUCUAGUCUCUAUACAAUCUAAUCUUCCAAGCUGACUAAUUCAAACUGACAUCUCUCGGCUUCUAAUGGGAUUGCUCUGCUUGGCCUCAAUGGAUCACAUCAACCAUGUUGGGAAAAAUGGAACAGAAUUGAGGCUCUAACUAAAAGUCUUACAGCCACUAGAUUCUUGGUGAAAGGAAAGCACCUCCGACAAAUGACAUUGAACAAAUGGAAUAGCCACAUACAUGAAUGAAAAUAGGUCUCGACCUUUUACCCUGAGCAGACCUCAAACCUAGAUGUAUCAAUGGACUUCAGCAUAAUACCGGCUGUCUGAAACCUGAGAGUGAAGAAAGUAGUAGUACACUGAAAUGUAGAGGAGCAGAUGGGAUGGUCUGGGACACUGGACGAUUGUUUUCAUCUUUCCAAAUCAUGGGGUGAAUAAACAUGUGAGGACAGAAUGAGCUGACAAAGCUUAUGGCUGAGUGAUGUUUAAAUGGAAAUCUACCAGUGAGCUCUCACAGAGAAGUGCAGGCUUAGAUACAGUGAAGAAGGCAUCCUGGGAAACCUUGGCUGAAGGAAGAUUCCUGACCAACGUUGAUGCAAUCAUCUAUCUACUGAGGCUGAGGACUGGCUGAUACCCUGCAACAUUGUGGACUGCUGAUCAGCUUCUCUCACUAUAAUUACAAAUUUAAGAAUUAAGCUCAUUUUAAGGGAUCUGCCUGAAAAUAAUCCCAGAAAGCUGCAAACAUCCCUGGUGAAACUGAAGAUGUCCUGAGCUUCCUGGCAAA